rnacentral:rRNA from 1 species
AGUGAACGCUGGCGGUAGGCCUAACACAUGCAAGUCGAACGGCAGCACAGGAGAGCUUGCUCUCUGGGUGGCGAGUGGCGGACGGGUGAGGAAUACAUCGGAAUCUACUUUUUCGUGGGGGAUAACGUAGGGAAACUUACGCUAAUACCGCAUACGACCUACGGGUGAAAGCAGGGGAUCUUCGGACCUUGCGCGAGUGAAUGAGCCGAUGUCGGAUUAGCUAGUUGGCGGGGUAAAGGCCCACCAAGGCGACGACCCGUAGCUGGUCUGAGAGGAUGAUCAGCCACACUGGAACUGAGACACGGUCCAGACUCCUACGGGAGGCAGCAGUGGGGAAUAUUGGACAAUGGGCGCAAGCCUGAUCCAGCCAUACCGCGUGGGUGAAGAAGGCCUUCGGGUUGUAAAGCCCUUUUGUUGGGAAAGAAAUCCAGCUGGCUAAUACCCGGUUGGGAUGACGGUACCCAAAGAAUAAGCACCGGCUAACUUCGUGCCAGCCGCCGCGGUAAAAC